UACGUAGGGGGCAAGCGUUGUCCGGAAUCAUUGGGCGUAAAGCGCGUGUAGGCGGCCCGGUAAGUCCGCUGUGAAAGUCGGGGGCUCAACCCUCGAAUGCCGGUGGAUACUGCAUGGCUAGAGUACGGAAGAGGCGAGUGGAAUUCCAGGUGUAGCGGUGAAAUGCGUAGAUAUCUGGAGGAAUACCGGUGGCGAAGGCGGCAUCCUGGACCGGCAUUGACGCUGAGGAGCGAAAGCCAGGGGAGCAAACGGG
rnacentral:rRNA from 1 species